AAUGUCACAAUACAAAGGCCAAACUCUUUGACAAAAUUUGAGACUAAGGAACCAUCCUCGCCGCAGAGAUUACACCCACACACUGAGAAUAGGAUGAGAUCUCCAUUUUAAUUACAUCACAACUUAAAUUCUCCCUUUAACCAAUCAGUCCUGCUUGUCCCAGUCCUUUAGAGUUGUUGUUCCUGAAUACACUCUCCUAUUAACUUCCGGCAUAUAAAACUCCAAUUUAGAUUCUGUUUCCAUGGAGCAUGACCUAAGAGAACUUUGAGCUUCCCAUCAGUCACUGAACUGAUGUAGGAUAACUCAUAAGAACUGAGCUCUACCUGCCUCAAUUUGAAAACAGGAAUUCCUUUCACAUAUUAUGAAGCCCUAAAAAUGGGACAUAUCACAUCCUUCUUGCCCAUAGGAACACUAGACAGUACUUCAGCACUACACUCGGGAGCCAUUUUCAACAGUGAAAACACAAACAAAAAGAACAAAGAAUGAAAAUGAGAAAUAUGUGGUACUGAACAGACCACAGAAAGGACAGGAUCUUUCCCCACAUCCUCACUGGAUUCCCUGUUCAGCAUUUAGUCUAGCAGAGCCAAAGCCCACAUGCUAUUAACCAGAUGUUUUGCAGAGGCCUGUAAACCCUAAAAUAAUGGACAGCCAGACUGCAUUAGAAGGAAGCAGUCAGGCACACUGAUUUGCUGUUUGCUUUAAACCCUGGUAGCAUGAGGUAAUUUUUGCCUGUCAUCUCCUUUCCGAGUAGGAGGAAUUAUUCACAUGUUAUCAAUGAAGGCACAAUAUAAUGUAAAGGGUUUUCUUCUGUUCUCCAGCUUUUUUGUUUAAGUUUCUGGCAUCCUCUGAAGAGAAAAGGCAAUGCCUAACAGAAAAACUGGCAUAAAAUGAAUACUCCAGAAAUGUCAGUGGUAGUAGAGACAGUAUCCGAGGAAGAAAAGGAUGAAGGGAAGUAACAAAGGAGGGAGGAGAGGAAAUACAGGAGCAGGAAGGUCAGUAGUGUUAAAUAUUGGAAAAAAGUGAGGACAACAAGGACUCAAAAAGCAAGAUCUUUGAUAUGACAAUUAAGUUAUUCAUAAAAAAGGAACAAUUGUUGGAUUGAGAGCCAGUAGCUAGACCAUACGUUUUGAAAGAAAAUGGGGUGAUUCAGGAAAUAUGGUGAAUUAACAACAUGGAUUAAUUUCACUGCCUGGUGAAAUCCAAAAAAAACUGAAGUCCCACUGAAAUAUCAAGUAAUAUUUAACGCAUAAAUCUACAAAUAUGGGGGGAAUAGGAGCAGGUAAAUCAAUAAACUAAAAAUUUUGAAUGCUAGAACAUAGCUGACUAGAAGUUAUCUAGAAGGUAACUGAUGUAGCAGCACAGAGAGAGCCAAACCCUAGGACUUCUAUGGGAAGAGCCAGGGACCGACUUGAGGAACAGAUAGCACUAGGUAACUCUGGGAGUGGUUGGUGAAAUAAAAUGGUGUGUGUGUGUGUGUGUUUAGAGAAAUUAUCUCCUUUCUAAUCACACGAGUUCCAUCUAGGAAAACAACUCCUAAAAUUUCUUGCAAAGACCUCUUCUAUUUUAGCAUGCCUCUGAGCAGACAAUGGCAGGUUCAUACUCUGGAGACAUUAAAGCUGAGAAUCUACCAAGGUUCAGACAGAGAAGCAGGGUGACUAUGAGUGUCAUGCAAUUAGGUGUGUGACAUGGCAACUAGACUUUACACAGCUGUUGAAGACACUGGAGAAUCAGAGAAAUAACCACCUA
rnacentral:lncRNA from 1 species